AAAAUACAUCCUGCUACUCCAGUGCAACUUCAGAAAACAGCCUGAAGUGACUUGCUCCUCCCCAGCAGUGCUGCUAGAGUUGGAUGCAAACACUUUGCUGAGCAAGGUACAAUUACCUUUCUGUUCUUAGUGAUGCAGGGAAUAUGAGAAGACAGAUCAUUUGCAGUGUUUCCAAGGUCAUGCCAGAAAAUUAGGGGUAGUCUGUGCUGGAUAGGGCACAUUGAGGAAGUGUCUCCUUAAUGUGGCAUAUUACAGCAGUGUUUAAUAUUUGAUUGAACUGAAUAUUGUUAUUAUUCCCUGGAUCAAGUUUCCUUUCUACUGGAAGUUGCAUAUUAUACAUUGCUGUGAAAUGUUUCAAGGAAGCUAAGCAGUAUAAUUAAGCAAGUGAAAUAUAACUUCCAUUCAUCUUAAAAUACAUCCUGCUAUCAAUUCAUUGAUCCAAAUUUUCUGAAAAAUGUUGAUGUUUGCCAAAACAGUGAUGUCCUGUUAUUGUCAUUCAACUACUCCAAAGCACUUUUACACAGAAGACAAAGAUCCCUCUCUCUAGUCAGGGAAUCCCUGAGAAACCUAAAGAUAGCAACUUCCCUACGAUCAUACUCUUCCAAACUGAAGGAAAUUUUGGAAUGUAAGGAAUUGUAUUAGUUUAAAGUUAUGAACUAUUUUUUUUUUCCUUUUUGGGAUUCUGAUACAGCUUAAAAAGUCCUUCAAAACCCUUGAAAAUCAUGGCCAAAGCCAGUGUUACAGUAACCUAGAGACACUAGAGUGUAGUUUUUGAACUUCUUGCCAGAAGCAAAUAUCAAUUUUGAAAUCUGGAUUGUUACUAAGGGACUUGCUCCCACAGAACCAUAUGUUACACAGCACUUGCAUUUCUGCUGAUAACUUAAGGUUUCUUCCCUCUUUUUCUCCAUGAAAGGUUGAGCACUGCACAGCAGAAGAGCAGAUGCAAGUCCCUUUCACAUGCUCACAAUUUCAGCCUGGGACUUCUCUAUCAGGCACAUUCCCACAGGGAAGGAGACCAGCGGGACUGAACUCAUCCUUGAUGCAAGUCUGCUUACUUCAAAGCAUUAGUGCCAUAGGUAAAAGCUCACACAGGUAAAAGGGGCCUCUCCAUCUUUGGCAAGCUCAUUCAGGAGAACAGAAAAAUCCCAGUCUAAACUAGAGAUCUUCUGUGUCUUUUACAAGUUAUCAUUGUCUGUUUAGCCACAGUGGCAAGGAGAAACAAAACUAUAUUUGGGAUGAUCUGGAGAAUAUAAGUCCACAACCUGUUUACACUUUGAGGGAGAAUUACUAAACUCACCAGAAGCAGCCGCUGUUCAAAGCCACAUACACUUUAAAUUCAAUAAAGUCACAGAAAUGAUACA
rnacentral:lncRNA from 1 species